rnacentral:rRNA from 1 species
ACUCAAAUGAAUAGACGGGGACCCGCACAAGCGGUGGAUGAUGUGGUUUAAUUCGAUGCAACGCGAAAAACCUUACCCACCUUUGACAUGUACGGAAUUUGCCAGAGAUGGCUUAGUGCUCGAAAGAGAGCCGUAACACAGGUGCUGCAUGGCUGUCGUCAGCUCGUGUCGUGAGAUGUUGGGUUAAGUCCCGCAACGAGCGCAACCCUUGUCAUUAGUUGCUACGAAAGGGCACUCUAAUGAGACUGCCGGUGACAAACCGGAGGAAGGUGGGGAUGACGUCAAGUCCUCAUGGCCCUUAUAGGUGGGGCUACACACGUCAUACAAUGGCCGGUACAAAGGGUCGCAAACCCGCGAGGGGGAGCUAAUCCAUCAAAGCCGGUCGUAGUCCGGAUCGCAGUCUGCAACUCGACUGCGUGAAGUCGGAAUCGCUAGUAAUCGUGGAUCAGCAUGUCACGGUGAAUACGUUCCCGGGUCUUGUACACACCGCCCGU